GACGAACCGUGCAAACGUUGUUCGGAAUCACUGGGCUUAAAGGGCGCGUAGGCGGCAGACCAAGUCCGGGGUGAAAUCUUUCGGCUUAACCGGAAAAGGGCCUUGGAUACUGGUUUGCUAGAGGGAGGUAGGGGUCUGUGGAACUUCUGGUGGAGCGGUGAAAUGCGUUGAUAUCAGAAGGAACGCCGGUGGCGAAAGCGACGGACUGGAUCUCUUCUGACGCUGAUGCGCGAAAGCUAGGGGAGCAAACGGG
rnacentral:rRNA from 1 species